rnacentral:lncRNA from 1 species
GAGUGUGAGUGUGUCUCUGUGUGUGUAGGGGUCGAGGUGGGGGGGGUCCGUGUUUGCGAUCUGAACCUUUGGUACCUACAAGGAGGGUGUCUCACCGAACGGUAGCUAAAACCUCACCAGAACCGCGCGGAAGUGAGAAGUCGCGGCCAAAGGCGCCCGCAGAAGCCUCCUCUCUGGGCCGGACCCCAGCCCGAGCGGCCGAAAGGAGCCCCCCGCCCGGAUCACAGGUGUGUUGCUGGCAAUAUGUGGCCCCAGGGGAGAGGCAAAAGUGGAGGUUCCCGAGUCAUCUGAGAUUUGUUGCCUCGGAACAGGAUCCACAGCUCAAUAAUAGUCACUGUACUGUCAUUGUUUAUUUGAAAUCU